AGCGUGCGUUACAGGGAAGAGAUGCGCUCACAUGUAACAAAGGCGCUUGGCUGGUCUCCUGUUUGAGGAACUAAUUUUUCAAAAAAUCUGCCUUUGGGCACUGCAGCACCCCGUGUUCCCCUGCUUCCGCACCCCUCCUCUUUCCCUGUGGUUGCCCGCACCAGGCUGGGCACUGUGCAGAUGCAGCAGCCCCUCGAUGCUUCAUCCUUCUCUAAUCCCAUCCUGUUCCGCUAAUCGCCUCGCCAAAGCUUUGACACGAGGUGGUAAGGACCAGGCGUAGCGUUCCAGCCUUGCGUUAGGUUUGGAGCAUCCCUGGCACACGUGAUUGGGAAAUAAAAACUGUGGCUCGAGGGUAGAUCCCAACAGUGCGAGGGAGAAGCGGCCAGAAAAUGGCACCUGGGGCGUUGCUGCGCAGCCAGCUGUGCGCGGGGAGCAGCGAGCGGAGGUGGGAGGACGCAGCUCCCUUGGCGGAGCAGCGGGGUUCUUAUUUUAGCGUGGAAGACGGCCAAAGAUAAGGAGCGGUUGUCAUCCGGCUGCUGGGAGGACUUGCGGAACAACAACAACAAAAAGCUUUGUGGAGGUGGAAAUGUUUUCAUAUGGGUACUGGGAAAAAAAAAAAAAAAAGCAGAUAACCUUGUGAGUGAUGGACUUGCCACAUGAAGCUGGCGGUACGAGGUUCUACCCGUAAAAACCAGAAUGAUCCUAAUUAAGCCCAGAUCCCGUUAAGUGACACGUGGCUUUAUUCAUUUCAGAUGUUUCUAGGUCCUAGAGAUGGGGCCAAAUGUGAAGAGUUUGAUGUGGCAGAGAGUUUAACCCCAAUUAUUUCGACAUAAAUCACGUGAUUGUUACAGUAGCCAAGUACGUGUGAUGGGUGCCCCCGAGCUGCCAAGUAAAAAGAUGCUUAUGUAUUUUCAAAAAUAUCCAUGAAAAACCUUUGAAGACCAUUAGAGACAGUGCCUGAAGGUCUGCUUGUAGGACACACAGCUGAAAUGGGAGCUUCCCAGAGCCGGCAGGUGGGGAAAGAGCAGUGACAUAGGAGAUGAGUGGUCUCCUCGCAAAGCUGGGGUGCGUAAAUGAUGUGGGGUAGUGAUGGCUUUUCUAGUUGGAGUGGAAGGGGCAGGUUGAGGAUGCAUGGUGCUGGCCAUGAAUGGCUUCGCUUGGAGGUCAGGCUGCCCUGGGUCAUGUCUCCAGAAAUGGCAUCUGCGGAGUAACAGUACAGCAAUAUUUUGGUAGCCUUUCAUAUACCAUCUUUAGAAAGACGGUCGUUUCCUUUUCUCUUUGUUUUGUUUUGCUCAAAGCCUUUCUGAAUUAUCUCUGAAGACACCAGAUUUCAAAAAGUAGGUAACUAGCUUUGUGAGAAGUUGUAGGCUAUGAACCAUCACUGACCUUCCUCCGUUCUCCUCUGGAAUUUCCUUUCCUAUUUUUUCCAGUGUUGUCCAUCUUUCCCAGCGCACUGAACAACCCCGUAAUUUGGCCCCUCUGUGAAGGAGCCACUUUGUCAAGUGACGUAGUGGCCAGUUCUGGCUUCCUCCUAUCUUCCAGCAGAUCUGCCCACAUGUAUAGCAGCCACAUAGCAGUGCUGUAGUAUGGGUGAGAAGCAGGUUGACCUCCCCACCCCAGUGAGUUUCAGGGAGGUUGCUGGACAUCUGAGGCUGUAGUUCCCCAUCCAGUGACUGCAGGCUGGUUUUGAAGAGCAGUUUGUCCUCCAGCACCUUUGUUUGGUUCAACCUUUCAGUUAUGUUUCUGCUCUUACUGUGACAUGGAAACAAAGAGGCUGCAGAAAUAUGGUGGCUACCAGGAAGGCCAGGAGAACAAUGGCUCUCACGUGCUCUGGCAGACGGUGCAUUUUUCAUGGCAAAGCCAGGUUAUUUGGAGGAGUGCAGGUCUUGCAUUCCAGUGAAAAAUAAUUCAUUAACGGCCAGAGAAUAAGCGCUUUGCUCCAAAAAAGCACUCCAGCUGCAUUGCACCAACUGUUCUUUUUCAGCCUCUGAAUCCUUAAUGACAGUAGUAGCUAAUUUCUCUUUUCUGUGUUUUUCUAACUGCAGUGUCCUAUUUUCUCUGAGUUUAUUGAGAAAAUAAUAGAAGUCAUUACAUAGCUACUUGUCACCUUUCAGAGAAGAAAACUUCUCCCUGGUUGAAUGGCCAAGUUAGUUGUUUGGUGACUGACUGGAACAAUAGUAACUUUUUGUAGCUCAUCAGUUAUUCAUCUAUGCUUAGUGAAUAAACUAAUUAGUUAGAGGAGUGUCACUUAACUUAUGGUCCAUGAGUAUCAGAAGACGAUGAAUAAAAUACUCGCAGACAGUAUAGCAGUUACACAUGUGCAUUCUGUUGCACUCCAGCAAAAAAAAUACGGGGUCAAGAAGUGACAAAGUGAGUAAUGUGUAUUCAUUGUACAUUUUUUUUUAUGUUUUAUUAUCUUUGAAAGCUUAUGUGACAGUACUGCAUUAAAUUGUCCUUGGUUUAAAAAAAAUACUUAGGUGGUCCUUUGGUUGAAGGAAAGAUAUCGAGGAGCAUUGAACUGAAUGAUGCAAAAGGGCAAUGAGAAUAGAAAUGUGGAAAACUAAAUAAAGCGUAUUUUUGUGUUUAUGAUGCACAUCUUUCUGUUGCUUGGUGAUGGAUGGCUUGCUGUAGAGCUGUACUCACACGAGGCCAUUGCAAAGCAAACAGGAAGGGCAACGUGUUGUUUUUUUAAUUGGGAUUUUCCUAACCCAGCAGCCAGGCAUUGCCACCAGAAUAAUAGCUGCCCUUUCUUCCAGCCUUGGUGAUGGAUGGGCUGGAGGCAGGAAGGUGGCUCUGGCCGAGAGGUGGGGCCAAGGCCUGCAACCCUGUGGUGGUACGGGCGUCGCCUGGGCUGGGCCUUGCUCUGCGUGCUGGGAGCACCAGGAGUCCAUAGGAAGGGAUGUCCAAAUAGUUGUUGUUUUUUUAAAAACAAAAUCUUAUCUACUUCCCUGGGGAAAAAAGAAGAGAACUUCCAUGCUUUGUUUGGAAGAAUCUUGUCUGUGGAACUGUCUUGCAUGGUAUUCUCUUUGGGGUCCUGAAAGAAACUUAAGGCAGGGGCUGAGCCCAGAUGCCUAGCCUUUGGGGAAAGUCUUCCACAAGCCCCACUGGAAAGUGGCUGGAUCACAAGACUCUGCCUGAAAAAUCAGUGGGUCUGUAGCCCUGGAGAGUCUCCCGUUGGACAGCAGAGGCUGCUCGCUACGUGGGGGAGAGCAUGUGGUGUGUAGGUACAUGCGCCCAGGCCCAUGCAUACUAAUGUAAGCCUGUCCUAGAAGAAGGAAGAGAAGAGCCUUGCUGUUGUAGUCAUGAGGUGCAGUUAGUUCAUCCCUGGGGGCAGAUAGAGUUGUCUCUCACUGUUCUGGUAUAGGAGGACCUCUGUAUGGUGAGAGUGGAUUCACAAGGCUUCUGUGAUGGAAGCAACAGAGUUGUGUGUCACAGCUCUUCUGUGCUGGGCAUGCAGGAUAUCUCGAAGGAUGUUGUGCUCCAGUGGGGCUGGUGGUGUCAACCUCAGUAUCUCAUUUCUCAUCCAGCCAUUAUAUUAAGCAGCCGUUCAGCUUAACAAAGACUGCUUGGCUGAGCUCCAGUAGGUGCUGGAGCUAAAGGGAUGUUGUUAGGAGGAAGAAAGCAGUGGUAAGGAGUUGCAUCCCUGCUCAGUGAGGGAAUGCACUACCCUCUAAUUCAGAUUUGCUGUCUAAGUCCUUAAGUGACUGUUUAUUUUUUAUUUUUUUGGUUUUUUUAGAUGCUCAGAUUGCAGCCAUGGGUAAUCCCAGUAGUGUUUAGGCAUGAUACCAUCACUUGUGUUUUAGGAUAUGUUCUGACUGUCAUGGUAACUUCCUAUCUUCCAGAGAGAAUCGUGACACUGAUGGGGUUAGCCCCAAGUGCUGCUACAUACCACAGAAAAGAAAGUGAAAGCCAAGCAUGGCAGUAGGCCGCAGUCCUUAUGUUUGUAGCAUGUAGCUGCAGAGCUGGCUGUGCAAUGGAGGGACUUAGCAUGGCCUCCCAGCUCCUAACCACAAGGCAGCUGACCCCGAAAUGGUUAAGUCAGAAGAUGAGGGGAAUGCUGAUCAUGAAGGGGCUCCGGACAUCUUGGCCAUGCUGUAGUUGCUGGAGAGGCUUGUCAACACUCCUGCUUCCUGUUUGCUUUCUGGUGGGGCUGAAGAGCUCUUUGCUUUGAAGCACAAAGGCCCAAAUACUUCAGGGCUCAGUGCUUCUGAAACUUCUUUUCUUGAGGAGAGGUGCCACUGAACUUCCAAGGAGCUGAGGUUCUCUCAUGUUUAAAAAGGAAGGGGGUGUUUCUAUUAGAGUUUCCUGUUUUGAACUCUUUAGUUACAGAAGGAUUGUCUUUUUGUAUUUUGUAUUUGUAGAUGUAGUGCAUUUAUAUGGAUUAUUUUCAUUUUAUCUUAUUUUUAUGUGUUUUGAUUUGUGCAAAUGAAUUUUCCCAUUCUAUCUGAGGCUGCUGCUUUAAGGAAGUCUAAGUAAGGUUUCCUGUCAGGAAUGGUUUAGAUGUAGUUGAAUCUUGCCCUGGGGCCAGAGGACGGCUCAGACAACUUAUCAAGAUCCUCUUCAGGACCUUUCCAAUGGUUCUAGGCAGUUACCAGGUAAAAUAAAUUUGUAGUAAGUUGUUCUGGUUAUGCUGAUAGGAUUUCACUGUAGCAUUUAACAUGGAUGCUUGUUUGAAAAGGAAGUAAUAGUUAUUUGUAGUAUAGUUACUGCUGCUGAAUUUGCCAAACAUUUCUUAAAAUUACGGAGGAAAACAACCGAUGUUACAUUUUCAGACUAACAUUAUGAUAUGGCUGUGAUUAAUUUUUCCAGGAGCUGUGUGGUUUUUAUAUCUGCUUAAGUGUAUUAACAUUUUAAAAGGUCAAAGGUAAGCUUUAAAAUGGAUGCCAAAUUAAGAUGGAUGGGAGGAAAAUGACAUUUAGUUCUUGUUACUGCAUAUUGUUUGAAUUUGACCAAAGGCAAAAACAAAACAAAGAAUCACCCUCCCCCCAGACAGACAGACACAGAUGCACAUGUACACUCCCUCCACCUGAUAUCCUGGCAUACCUGCUCCAGGAAAACCUUAGUGGUGCAGGAAGAUCCUCACCCUAACAAAAAAUUAGUGGUCUUUGCUUCCAGAUGGUCUAAGUACCCCUCUGCGAAGCCUCUCAUUUAACUAAUGUGAGUGAACUCUCUAAAUAAAUCUAGCUAAAAUAUUUAUAUUAGGAAAAUACGGCUCAUGUGAACCAUAACCACACUACCAUUUCCUGCCCUUGCUGUGUUUGAGAUGACGGUUUCACCAGGGAGAAGGGACUGUGCUCCCGUCUGCAUCCACACAGCUCCUGGCAGACAAAGUCCUUCCAAAAUCAAAAAACAGGUUACAGUGGAAAUGGGUCCUCUGCUUCCGUGAGAACAGGGAGCUGCUCUCUGCAGGCACCAACGCGCUACAGCUCUGAUUUUGGAGAAAGCAGUAUAGCUUGCCAGGAGGACUGAAUCUGAUUUAUGCCCAUCGUUUCCACUCUUGCCCUGAAAUUAGGUUUAAGACCUGGGCUGCGAUGCACCGUGUUGUGGGAAUUAUGGCCACUCCAUUCUUUUAGGGACCCAGCACCUAUUUUAAAUUCCCUCCCCGCUAAUAAGAAGUCAUCCUCAGCAUCCCUUUUAGGGUGCUGAAAAUGUUUGUCCAAGGUUCUGACAAAAAGGAAAAAAAAAAGGGGAAAAAUGUGAAGUGUUCAAGCGCUUGGUUCCACUGUGAAAAUGUAUUUUUCAUUUCAAGCUGAAUUGAUUCCUUCAAGGCCUUGCUGCCCUCUGAGUGGAACAAACAGCACACUUUUAUUUUUUUGUUUAACCAAGAAAAAGGGGGAAAAAAAGUCCUUCAGUGGCUCAACCUAAACAUUUCUUUUUUUAAUUUUUUUUUUCAGCCUGGCCACUGUAGCAAACAAUUUCAUUAUUUGCAUAGCUCUAAUUGCAGUGAUUAAACAAACACAGCAAAUGCUGACCCUUCGCAGAGCCUCAUCACAACCCUACAGCCAACUUCGUCUGUGUUUUUUCCGCAGGGAGGGAGGGUGGAGUGGCUUUGUGCUAGGCUGAAAAGAAAUUACCGACGUUUAUUUAUUUUUUUCUUCAAACUGUUAUGCUGCCGACGUAGAGCAAGAGUAAUUUCACCCAUCCUCUUGCUGGCAGAUUCAGCGAUAUCACCGUGGUGUGAACCUGAUACAGCUGAAGAACAAUCGGGUUUCAAAUAACUUGCUCAUGUGUUACUCCCAAGCUGCAGCCUCCAGAGCCAUCAUUAGAAUAAUGUGUAGGAUUGAUACUCUGCUAGCAAUACUGAUACUAAAUCUAAGGGCUCAGAAGCAAACAUUUACACUUUCAUUUUUCAUGGUGCCGAUGGCAGGUACUCUAAUACAGGGUUAAGCAAAAUCUUAUCUGGCUGCAGUUCCAUCAAAUAGGAGCAAACAAUUUUUUUGGACAUUUUUUAAUGACAUUUAUUUAUAGCAGGUAGAGCACAGGCGGCUGCUAUUUCUCAGCAUGCUGGAAGAAUGUUCUCCAGAUGGUGCUUACUGUUUAUGCUUUUAUUCGGUUCACUUGAACACAGCAGCUCUCUACACAAAACACGGAAAAUUGGAAAAUAAAAACAAUUAUGUUUUUACAAAGUGUCACGUUGUUUGCUGAAAUGUCUUAUUUGACUGAUGAGAGAUGCUUCAGGGCAGCGCAGGGGAUCAUGCCUCUUGCACAGGCGCUCACCCAAAUGGGUGCAGGCAUCUCCCCAGCUUGAGGGGAUCUGCCAGUCUUCCCCACAUGGUGGGUUUUACGUGUUUUCUGGUGGUACCCUCGUAUGUGUGCCUCCCCUUUCUCCAGGGCUAUGGGUGAAUUUAGGAAGGGGGUGGUGAGUUGCCAUGGUUGAGUUUUCUUAGCCCAGGGUGGGAGAGAGGUCAGCCGUCCCUGAGCCCUCCUUGUGUCACCUUUUCCAUGGCUUCCAAUCUCCAUGCAGAAUAAAGUAUUGAGGUCUUCUGCUGGUCCAGGCUAAAAGCAGUGGCAAAGCUCAGGACUGGCACCCAAAAGGAGUGGUGUGAUCCACGGCAUCCUGUUACCGCGGUGGAGUUGUAGAUCCCCACACCAUCCAGUGGUGGGUGUGCUCUUGCCAUUGCAUUUACUCAGCCCUGGAAGGCUGGAAGGUUUAAAUAAAAGAAUGUGGAAUUUUAAGAAUAUUUUCUUGUAAGUAAUACUUGGAACAAUUUUCAAAAAUUGUUUGUUCUUUUUUUCUCAAUUUCUUUUUAAGAAAACAGACCAAUCAUCAAAGUAGAUUUCAACAAGAAGUUUUUUUUUUUAAAAAAAAAGCCUUUCAAUAAAUGUUUCUGGCUUCUGUCAGCAAACAGAACAAAAAACCAACAACAGUCCACAGCACUUCAGGACAAUUAUCCGACCAGCAAAAACCCUUUCCAGUUUAAACUUUCAAUUUGGACACAAUUAUUAUUUCUUUGUAAGUACAAGCCUUCAGUUUCCUUUGAAAUCCAGUUUCAAGCCAGCAAUACUUUCAGUGAAAUUGAAUUUCAAGAAAUGAACGUGUGAUAUGUCAUUCAACCCAUUUUGGGGAUUUCUUAGCUAAAUGGUGGAGCAGUGCUGCGCAGCGCUUCCAUUUCUCUCCUCCUGCAACCCAAGAGACAGCCCUUUUCCAACCCAAAUUCUUGCUACAUCAGCUACAUGCUGUUUAUCUUCAGCUGCUCCCUUGGCUGUUAUUAUUUCUUAAUGUGUUAAUUGUAGUUCCUGGACCCCAGCGUGUGAGCAUGUGUAAUGCUCGCUGUAAUGACGCCGAUGCGUUCUGUAGUUCCUGGAAUUGCAGAGAGAAAAUGUUACAUUUGUCCUGGGCACAGGGCAUCCAGUAAGGGAAACCAAUUACAAGAAUUCAAAUAGCGUAAAGAACAAAGUGGGUAAUUGGGAGGAGUACGCAGUGAGGCUCGGGUUUGGUUUUUUUUUUUUUUUUUUUUGCCUAUUCAAUUAUGGUUCCAACUAGUGGUCUUGCUUUGUGUGAUAUAUAUAUAUUUUAAUUAAAACUUGAAUUAUGUCGGUUGCUUUCCACCUUCUAACAAUAUUUCACUGUGAAUUCAUUCCUAAUAGCGAGUAGUCAGGGAUAAGGAAUGGCUUUGCUGAACGAUGAGGACUGUUAAUUAUUAAAAAGAAACCUAUGGAUUUAAAACAAAUUAGAACUCAUUAAGACGAGGUCUGUUUCCACACAGAGCAGCUGACAUGGAGAAGCACAUCUGUGAGCCUGGAAAAUGGCACUUUUUAGCUGACGCAUCCCUCGUAGAGGUGCACCUGUUCCACAGGGGUCCAGUUGCUGUUGGGACUCCUGUCAGAGAUCCCGGCUUGGCUUGGUUUUUGCUGUCCAAAUCUGGCUGUGACUCAGGUUGGUUCUUCUUAGGGGCUUUCUGUGGAACUUUGUAGAAAAUCCCGUGGGUUGAAUUGAUUGUUGGACACCAUAUGCAUAUAUAGCUAUGUACGGUUGCAGCCUACUUGUUUGAAGUUUUUGGAGGCGGUGGCUGUGUCCACAGGAAACUCCUGAUAAGGAGGGCAAAAGGUGAUGUAUGAGGAGUGUUUGAGAAUUUAAUUUUACGUUCCCAUAUGGGCUUUGCACCCCAGGAUUUGCUGUCAGGCUGAGACAUCCCUCAGACUGUCAGCAGCAUCACUGGGAGCGACACACUUGCAUCGGGAGAAGCAGCACCGCCAUUCUGCUGGCUAGAAAUCAGCAAUAACAUUUUGACAUCUGUGCAACAGUUUAAAAUGAAUUAUUCAGCACAUAGAUCGUGCUGUUGGAGCAGCCAGCGCAUCUCUGCCCAUUUACUGCUGUCAGUCCGUGAUGGAGAUGCCACUGGUGCCAGUGGGAAUGGAGCACAUGGGCUGGGGGUAGGUUUUGGCCCGUAGCCUGGAACAGCAUUUGACAGCACCCCUACAGAAUAUGAAGGGAAUGAUCUGCGUCACCAUCGACAAAGACCUAAGGCCAUGACAGUGUGCUGUUCUCUUGGACUGUUUUAAAUAGGUGCUGAAAAAAAAGGCCUUAAAUAAUUAGUGGUUCGGACUGUUCAAGUUAAGCACCAGAGAGCGAAGGAUGAGACUGGUGUGUUGCCUGUGAAUCCCCAGAUCCACCAAGCGUCUUGUGCCCGCUGGGAGCAGAUCCAGGCGCAGCCCAGCUGCAGGUCGCAGCCGGCCCCAGCUUCUGCCAGGCCCGGGACUGGUGCGAAGGAGUCACUGAUUCCUGUCAGCACAGAAAAUGUAUGAGAGCCGCAGGAAAAACGGCAUCUGAUUGGGAAAAACAUGGUGAACAGCGAUGAGAACGUGCUUUGGGGAACUGCAGGUGGGGGAGACUGGGAGGAAGUACAGAGCGGCUGAACAGCAGCAAAGACCAGGUCUGUUUGAGACAGGCUUGUAAGAGCGGAGGUGGGCAUUUAGCUUCCUAAUUCAGCACAGUCCUCUGAAUUCAAGCUGCGUAUGUGUUGUGAGUCUGGCAUCUGUUAUUUCACAAGAUGCCUGUUCCCUGUAGCUGCAUUUUAAAUAUAGAUGCAGAACACAGGACGAUAAAGUUCAGUGCUAUGGGUUAUUGGCGUUUCCUCACCUUCCUUCAAGUACUGUGCUGUAGCUGUCCACUGAUGAUUUAUUCAGCGGGCAAAAAUUUGGGAGCACAUGAAUAGCAUUGCAGGGUGCAACAAAAUCAGCAGUCUGGCAUUGUCUUUGUCCAUGUUUGGGUGACGGAGCACAGAGGCAGCCCAGAGGCUGUGCAGUCUCCUCCUUGGAGUCCUCCAAGACCCGCCUGGCCGUGGGCCUGGCUCCCUGCUCUGGGAGUGCUGCUGGGCCUGAUGGACGCAGAGGAGCCUGCCAGCUUCAGCCAUCCUGGGAUUCUACAGGUGGCUAGCUGAAAACCCAGCCUUCCCCAGUUUCUGUCCAUACUUGUGUUACACGUAACACCCUACCAUAUAAGUAGCCCAGUACUGCACUUGGAAAGGAAAGACAUAUUAUCCAGGUAACUAUAAAACAAAUGGCUAGCAUGUGUUAAAUUUCUCACGCAGGAAAGCAGAUCUAUAGAGAAAAGACACUUAAGCACAUAAUGAAAGUUAAGGAGAUCCUUAUGUCCUACUGAAGUCAGUAGCAUUUAAGCAUGUACUAAAACCUUUCCUGAAAUAGGGAUAUAAUACACUGAGAGUAACACAAAAGCUGUAAGACUGAUGCUGAACAGCUCUGAACCCCCUUGUGUGCAUGUAUGUGUAGCCUUACUGUCAGCAUCCCUGAGAGCUCUGCCAAACAAAGAGAAAUAAUGAUGAAUACUUCACAGCUCACGAUGCCCAGGUGCAGCUCUUUUGCAGGAGGUGGGUGACGCUCACCCGCUGCUUGGCACCAGCCGUCCUGCGGCUGCCAUUCCCAGCAGUGUGAGCUGGUGCCUGGUUGUGUACUGUCGUGCAGCCAGCACCAGCUGCAUGUGGCUAUGUGCGUGCCGUGUUUCUGUAAUGUCUGUGCUGGCUUUCUGUAUGGCUGCCAUCACCAAGGGCCUGCAUGUCCUCACGCUCUUUGAUCUACUCGCCAUCACUGCGCUCCUCGCAGGCAGAGGAAUGUUCUCGCCCCUUGGCAGCGAGCAGGAAGAGGCACAGGGAGAUGUCAGGUCGGAUUUUAAAAGGUUUUCUCACAUCCAUGUGGAGACACACUGGGGGAUGUUCUUCCAGGCCCUGUGUCUGUGGGCACUGGGCUCUGUGUGGGACGCUCGACCUCAUGUGGAAGGCUUGUGGCAGGGGACCGGAACGUGUAAGGACCAGGGAGGGAACCUGCCUUGCUGGUGCGUGUGGCAGGUGGUGAGCAACCAGGGACGUGCAGAAGACCAAAAAGAAAGGGAAAGAAGGUAAACAUCUAAAGUAAUGUAUGUAUGAGGGUGAAGAAUGCUACGUGCUUUUAUUGCCACUCGAUUGGAAGGAUGUGUGCAGCUUGUGAGUAUCCAUUAAUUAGUGCUGCAGUUGCUCCGUGCUGCUAUCAAUAAAACCUUCAUGGUACGUGGUGAUUUCUUCCUUUUUCCACAUGCCCUUGUGAAGAUGCCUGUCCGUGCAGUGCCCUGUGAGCAGAGUAUGCCACCGUGCCUGAUUUCAUAGCAAGAGGACUGUAAAAUCCUUCAGCAGUUACCCCCAGUGCUGCUUUCCUUAUAAAGGAUCUUUGAUAUGCAGUACUUUCUUGCACGCGCAAAGUCAUCGACGUUUUUCUUUCUUUUGCUGAAACAUGCUAAUUCUUAAAAUGGCUCCUGCGCAGGCAUUGCCGGCUGCACUUAGUGCCUGCAGUGCGAUGGGUUAGCAGCAGCGACAGCAAAGGCUCUCCUUCAUUUCCUUUAUAUGCACAUCGUGCAGCUUUUCAAACAGUGCAUCAAACAACACCGACUGGAAAUUUCCAGGCCCAUUUCCUGUCUGGUACAUGCUCAUAAAGCAGGAUUGUCUGUACGGUGCGUAGCUGCAGUACUGCAGAAAGUCAAUAAAGAGCUGACCACCUCACCUCUAUCAAAAGCAGUUGAGAAGCCCUGCCUCAUCUGCCUUAUUAAAACCACACUUGACUCCUGCAGAGAGACAUAGCUGGAAACCUUGAAGAGAAGGAUUAAAAAGGAGGCAGAGCCUGCAGUGAGUAUUCUCCUUCUGGGUCUUGCAGUAAGGUUAAAGAGUAUUUAUUUUAAAAUGAACUGAAAAAAGCAGAUUCGUUAAGGUCUUGCGUAAGUGUGGGCAUUUUGCUUGAACCUCUGACUCUCCCACAUUCAGUAUGACACAGAGAUAAGAUGAUUCGUUAUUGCAGCAAUCAGUAGAUUUAAAUAGCUCCCUGAUGGAUUAGUAUUUUAAAUGUAAGGAUGUGGACGCAUAUAGAUGUGCAUGUGUGUACGUACUUAAUCUUUGCAAGAAAAGGCAUAUUGUAGAAAUAGAUUCAAGAGGUAGGAUUUGUGCUGCAGAAUGUAUUUCAGUACACACUUGAAAGGCUGCUUAUUUUUUUUAUUUCUUAUAUAAGAGUAAUUGAUUGAAUGUUUGCCAGGCUUUCAGUGGGAGCCACCAGGAGUCCCCACCCCCCACCUUCCCAGGGCCCGAUAGCUUUUUCUCACCUUAAAAUGGAAAAAGAAAUAACUUUUAACAGAAAGAUCGUUGCUUGAGCUUAAUAUGGUAAGAUUUCAGAGAUUGAAUUUUCUGAUAGUAAUGAAAUGAACCCUGAGUUGUGCCAUGAAUUUGAUUGCAGUUAAUUAGAUUGUUGAGAUGCUCAACAAACCUAGCCCAUUAGCUUUAGCUUCACAUAUUUUGGAUUUGUAUGAAGCGGUAUUCUUUAUAUAUACAUAUAUAAAUGUAUGUAUAAUAUGAAAACUUGUCUGGCAGCUCGGUUGCUUGGAACAAUUACUGUCUGUGAGUAGUUACUAACAAUAGCGUUGUUGGAAAUGUCGGUGUGCUGCUGACCAUUAAUCCCACUGUGUUUAUUGCUUUGGUGGCACAGGCUUGGUUUGCCUUUUCACAAGGAAGAAUACAGCUGCAUUUCAGCAAAGAGACAUACACAAGCUCUGUCCUGCAGCUCUUUCCAGUUCUCAUUGAUCUUAAUGAGACUAGUCACAUGAAUAGGAGCGACUCGUGUCAAAAAGGAUUUUUUGGCUGAAACUCACAAUUUCUAUUUAUUUGAUGUGGAGUGAAGAGCUCCUGUUGUUGGGUUUUGGCAGUGGGGAAUAUUUGCAGAGUGGGGUGUCCCAUGAGAUGGUCUCAUUGUCUUGCCUUUGCUCUUUAUGCAUUCUACUCUUUUUCAGCAAUUAGAAAGGUGGAGUAUUUGGUGAUGGCUGAAAACUACUGGCAUGAAACUACAACUAACCAGGAAUAGCACUGAAGAGCCGUUCGUGUUGGGUGAAAAACAGAAGGAGGAUUCUGUUACUGGGGAGAUGGGCUCUCCAGGGCAGUGGGCGCAGCCCUGAGUGCCAGAGUUCAAGGAGCGUCUGGACAACGCCCUCCGUCAAAGGGUUUGAUUUUGGGUGGGCCUGUGUGGAGCCAGGGUUGGACUCCAUGAUCCUUGUAGGACUCUUUCAACUUUUGGGAUAUUCAUUGAUUUUGUAUGACUUGACAUGCAGCCCAGCGGUGCAUGGGAGGGAGAGCUCCCGUCAGAGGUAGGAGGUGUAGGUACCUGGCGUUGGGCUGGGCCCAGCAUCUCCCUGAAGCUGCCAGGGGUUGUCUCUUUGCUUGGCUGCUCCUGCUGUGCCCAGUGGGCACCCACUGAGGGAACCGGGCAGGCUCUGCCCAUCACAUGGGGAGCUGCACGAGUCCUUGUGAAGGGUGCUGCAGCUCCCCCAUUGCCACCGCCUUGGAAUAAGUCAGAGGCACCGUGUCUGAUGUUUCUCAGGCAAUGCUAGCUAGAAAGGAAACAAUUUUACAGAUCAGCAGUUUUUUAUGAUUAAUAAUAUUAUCCUGCCUUAAUUGAAAAAUGGGCUGAGGCCCUUAAGAAAAAAUUAAGCUGCAGGAAUUAGAAUCUAACCUCUUUAUGAUGAAUGUGUAUUUUUACACGCCACAUAUUACUGUCAGUGCUUUUGGAAAUAAUGGCACGGCAUAUUGUAAUAAAGAAUUGUCCCGUGUUGUUUGUAGUUGCGUGGCACCAUUCUGUCUGCCUGACUUGACUUUAAGAGCUCGGGUAGAAUCCAUGUGAGGGUGCUGAAAUCCUUUUAGAGGGAAUUUAUGUACAAACAGGGGAGCGAUGUGUAGGCUCCAGGCUUCGCUAUCAGUUGUUAUUGCUGAGAGAUAUUCACAGGGAGCUAAUGCCAGACACAGCAUUAGCUAUCUUCAGCCUUGGUGCCUUUGUGGAAAGUUGGUAAUAAAAUGAGAGAGGGCUCCCGUCGGCAUGAUUCUUAAACAUCAGUGAAUCAUCUUAUGCAGCAAGUCAGUUGCUGCUGGGGUGAGUGUGUGCAGGGGUCUUGGUGAGCCUCUUUCUCUACCUAAACAAGGCGUGAGAGGGAGCAAACCUGCUGCUGUCUAACCCGGCAUGGAGCCACAGCUGCCUUCCCCCUGGAGAACCACAGCUUCAGCAGCGGCCGGGGGGAGCGUCUCUGAAAGCAGGUAAACGUGGGAGAUGUGAGCGUAGCACCUUGAAAUACAGACACUGUAUUCCCCCCCCAGAGCUUUCAGAUACUCCCGUCAGCUUAAAUACUGCUAACCCAAACAUUCGAACAUGAUGAGUCAAAUCUCCCUGGAAACCAAGCAGAGAAGAACCCGCAUGUGUGGAGUCGCUGGUGCUGGUGUUUGUCUCCGACAGACAGCAUGAGAAGCUCUCCUCCUCCGCCUCCUCCUUCCAAGGGGACAUAGCAGAGCAGUCAGGAGGAAAGGCUGGGCUGGCAGCGAGGCGGAGGAUCGUCGGCUGUGGGAUGCUCACGCAAGGGCUCCGCCAGGAUGAAAGGAAAAUCAUGCCGUUUGCUUUUCAAGCCUAAGAAGCCUUUUAAUGCCAGCAUAAGUCUACAUCCUUCCUACAGUCUUGCUCCAGAAGUAAACACGUGGGCACAGCGCAUGUGUCGAAACGUGUGGGUCGAGGUGUGGUGAAUCCCGGGAGCUCUGGCACAAGACACGUCCCUCAAGUACGUCCAGUUUUUCCCUCCAUCACUUUAAUGUGGAAUUUCUAAGGCCCCCACCCUCCUGCCAUUUUGCCAGCCCUGCAGGAUACCGAAGGCAGCACCGUGGCCCCCAGUGUCCCUGUCCCAAAGAACUGAUGCAGGUGGAUGUCCCCACGGUCACAGGAGCAUGUUCCCCACCUGAACAGGGAUUCGGAGUGCGAAAGCUGCAGCGAGGUUGCAAGGGAUGUCACCGAACUCUGCGGCAUGUGACUCAGCUGUAAUUAUGGCUGGCAAAUUUAUAUUUGUCCUUUGCAUGUCAGGUUCAAUGCAUCAGAUUUCCGUACGCUGUCUGGGGCUCGGCUUAGUGCAAGCUGAGCAAGCUGCUGCUGCAUGGGCAUUGCCAUGCUGCUCCAAGGGGAAAAAAGAGCCCUGUCUGGGCAGGGUUUGUUCCCAGCAGCAUGCUGCAGGGCUCUUCUGCUGCAGCAGCUUUGAGACAGGCAGGAUCAGGAUGUGCUGUGGAUAAGAGAUGUGGGCAUCAGAGAAUAGCAGUGUCUCCAAUGGUUUGUCGUGUUUCAUAGCACCUGCUUAUACAUAACCUUAUGUACACUUUGGGUACGUCACAAUUUGGGCUGUAAAGAUAAUUUUUUUGUGAAGCUUUUCAGUUGGGUGUAAAAAUUCACUGUGAUGAGGCUGAAAUUUGUCAGGGCAACGCUCUGCUUGCCCCCAGCAUUUACCAUCUGUAUGCGUUGGGAGUAAGGGCACUGCUCUUGGGACCAUGACAGGAUUUUGUUUAAAUUGGUCUGAUUUGUUUUUAAAUGAGCAGAAAGUGAGUUCUCUGCUCCGCAGAAUGGAUUGCGAAGCAGGGGCUGUUGACAACAGCAAUGCAGUUGACAGACGCAUUGCGCUAGGCCGGCCCUGCGCAGUCAGUAGGCCCGCUGCUGUGUGCCAGCUCAUUCUGCAGGCCUGGCUGAGACCAGCCGGUCAGGCCGCUGCCUCCCAGAGCAACCACACUUGGUCCCUGCUAAAGAGUCUGUCUGUCCUUCUUACAGCCCCCCCUAGAUCCUGAAAGGUGCUCUCAGGUCUCCCCGGAGCCUUCUCUUUUCAGGCUGAACAGCCCCAGCUCUCUCCUGUCCUCAUAGGACAGAUGUUCCAUCCCUUGGGUCAUUUUUUUUGUCCCUCUUCUGGACACACUCCAUCUGUGGUUUAUAUGUACAGGAGAGCUACUGGUACAUUAAUAGCGCUGUGUGAAAGCUCGCUUCCUCCAAAUACUUUUUUUCUAUUCCAGCAAAGACCUUAAUAACAACAUGGGAAGUCCUUAUGUGUGUGCAGCCAUAACAACACAGCACAAAAGUCACAGGAUGCAAGGUGAUUUACAGCUCACUGCUGUGUGUCAGUGCGUGCCCCAGUUGCCCCCUGCCUUAUCUACUGCAGAAGGAUGCAGAAAGAUGGGGAGGGUUCUGGCUGCAGGCAGUUGCAUGCAUGGCAUUGGGUGGUCCCACAGCGAGCACCCACAGCCCUGGGAAAAGCUGACAUCGGCAGGGGAUCAGCAAGCAGGCCGGAGUUAUCGCCGCCCUCAUAAUGGCAUUUCUGCAUAGCUAACAUAUCAUUUCCUGUAGAGCUGUACACAUCGUUGCUUAGUGCCGUGAACUUAACUCUUAUCAGCAUCCCGGUGGGAAAACGCAAGUUAUUUACAAUAGCUUUCUUUUCGGUGUCGUAAGCUUAUUUUCAAUUAAAACAAACAGCAAAUUAAAUAUUAAAUAGAUAAGUAGGGAAAGUGAAAUUAAUUGAUUUUCCGGCACCGGGGUGAGGUAGAGAGAGGAACCUUAAGGCGGUUUUGCCAAGCUGCACUGCCUUCCUUUUUGCUUAUCAGAUAUGUGGGAUUGGCUUUAAAAGCCAGGCAGCUCUCAAUAUGCGUAGCGAAGCAGCAGUCCUUGAAGUAACAGCAGUACAUACUUCAGAUUAUUCUUUAUUAAAGGAGAAAUGUAGUACAGCUUUCACUGCUAAAAGCAACAUUGGAAAAUGCAGUUUGGUGUGAGUCCUCUCCAUAGAACCACAGAUAAACAGAAUGGGUUAGGUUGGAAGGGACCUCAAAGCCCACCUAGCCCCAACCCCUGCCGUGGGCAGGGCUGCCCCCCACCAGCUCAGGCUGCCCAGGGCCCCAUCCAACCUGGCCUUGAGUGCCUCCAGGGAUGGGGCA